rnacentral:lncRNA from 12 species
AUGGAAAUCGAAUCAACCUUAUUUUGCACAAAAUCUUUAAAAAUAGCACGUACCGUGGGGGGUCCAGUGUUAAUCAGCGCUGAAGGGGGCAGGAGGCAGCUGGAGGUAGGGAGAGCAUCUUCCCUUCCUUCCCGGGAGCCCAGGGGUCCCUGCAGGGCCUGCGCCCCCACCCCGGGCCACCCCGCGGUCGGAGGACGAGGUGCCGCAGGAACCUCUUGCUUUUUCACUGGGGAAUCUGUAAGGAGGAGAGCAGGGCUGCCCCCCCAACGUGUCAGCAGGGCACCGUGUCCAAGCGCAGAAUCGCCCGCGGGGCCCCGGAGGACAAGGGGGCGGGGAAGUUGGACACAAAGAGUGUGGCCUUCGGCAGAGGCCCGAGGGGGGGUCCCCGCAAUGUUCGCGGGCGCAGCGGGGCCUCCGCGGGGGCCGUCCGGGUGCGGGUGGCCCCUGGCGCCCGAGCUCCGAGCUCCGAGCCUGCGAGCCUCGCGCGGUCCCGGCGACGGUGGGCGAAAGGCGGGGGGGCCGGGCCCGGGCCCCGCGGGGCCGAGCCUGGCGGCGGCGCGCGCUCCCUCACCCGAGCUGCGCGCCCCAGUGCACGCGCGCCCGGCGGAGGCGGAGGCCGCUCCCGCCCCCGCGGCGCGCUCCUCUGAGCGGCUGGGCCUCCGCGGACCGGCAGUUUCCCUUCCUGACUUGAUCACGUCUCGACUCUGUGUCAAGGGGUCAGGGCCGCAGGAGCCGAGGUCGGGGUUCGGAGCCACAGGAGCCCAAGGUCAGUGUUUGGGGCCGCAGGAGCCUGAAGUCAAGGAGUCAGGGCUGCAGGAGCCCGGUGUCAGGGUUUGGGGGCAACAGGAGCCUGAGGUCGGGGGGUCAGGGGUAGCAGGAGCCUGAGUUUUGGGGGUCAGGGGCCACCUGAACUGAGAUCAAGGGGUCAGGGCUGCAGGAGCCCAAAUUCAAGGGGUCAGGGGCCACAGAGGCCUGAGGUCGGGGGGUCGGGGGCCACAGGAGCCUGAGGUUGGGUUCAGGGCCACAUGAGCCUGAGGUCAAGGAGUCAGGGCCGCAGGAGCCUGAGGUCAAGGAGUCAGGGCCACAGGAGCCUGAGGUCGGGGGGUCGGGGCCAUAGGAGCCCGAAGUCAAGAGGUUAGGGCUGCAGAAGCCCGAGGUCAGGGGUCGGGGGCCGCAGGAGCCAACAUCAAGGGGUCGGGGCCACAGGAGCCCGAGGUUGGGGGGUCAGGGCCACAGGAGCCUGAAGUUGGGGUUCGGGGCCGCAGGAGCUUGAGGUCAAGGGGUCAGGGCCGUACCUUCACUGUCUAAUGAUGACGGGUGAGUCUUGACCUUCGUGUAACCCUGGGAAGAAACCUCCAUCCCCCCACAUCUUCGUGUGCCUGGAAGAGCCUUGGCCGUGUUGUGCCCCGAGACGGGACGGCUGUCAGCGGCGCUCGUAAGGUCUCCGCGGCAGCAGCGCCCCGGCUUCCCGGGACGGCCGGGGGACGCGGCAGGAACCCCCCGAGGGGUUCGCAGCCUUCCUCGUGCAGAGGCCCCGCCGUCACCACCCGACCCUCUGCCCCACGAGGGCGCGUGUCAGCGGCGAGGGCUCUCCGUGCAGCGAGGACGGGAACUGCCCGAGUGACCCCGUCAGGUCAGCGUGGCUCAGGCGUUGGCCCGUCGAGCUGGCGUCGCGGCUGACCCGGCCCAUGUGCACACGGCCCGGACCUCCCCCGGGGGCUUGGCCGCCGGCCUGCACUGGCCUGGACCGUGGCCGCACCCCUGCUUGACCCCGAAGCCCCCGUCCCUCGAGGUGGCCGGUGAGGGCGAGCAUCCCACGUCCUGUCUGCGCCCGUCCACUUGCAGCGUAUUGGGGCUUGCACGGGGCUCCCGUCCCCAGACUCCC